UGUUUCUGAGGCUGGCUUUGAACUCACGAUCCUCCUGCCUCAGCCUCCCAAGCUGCUGGGAUUAUAGAGUAUAAAAUGGAAAGAAGCAUUUCGGGCAGAUGCUCAGAGAGUCCCAGAUCAGCACCAUGCACACUACAGAAGACAUCCUUAUCCCUAUAAAAAGGAGCAAGUAGAUCCAGCAGAGAUGGUGGUAAAGAGUUGGUGGCCCGGAGGGGACAUUAGGGAGAAGAAUUUGUUUCCAGUUUCUUAUGGAAUGGGGAUAAACGAGAAGGGAAAAAUGAAAGGUGUGACUUUGAUUUACUUCCUCUCCUACAUAAUUCCAUUACUCCUCACAUAAAAGGAGACAGUGUAAUUCAGAGGAGGGCAAUGUAUGGGUUAUUCUAGAACACAGAGACAGUGCACUUAAAAUACUGGCGACGUAGAAAAACUUGGAGAACACAUGAGAAGACGGAAACAUCAGCACUUGCCAAUGGAAGAAAACAGGUAAGCGAAGCCAGAAAACAACCAAGCACACAAAAAGUAAGGACAGAUGGUUGAAAACCCACUGUGCCCUACCGAAGAGUUGCUGGCUGGUCACUCUGACUCAGCCGAUUCCACAGCAGCCUUCACCUCCUGUCCCUGGUGUGUACCUGCCUGAGACUUAAAUUCAGUCACUAAACGCCUCAAAGUUCUGCAGUUUGGAUUCUGGAGUCUGUUUUGGGUUUUCAUCCCAGCUCUGCAACUUUGCUUCCUGUGUCAUGUUGGAUGAUUUAUUUAACCUUUCUGUGCUUCUGCUUUGGUUUCCUGAAGUAUAAAUGGGGCAAUUAAAGCACUUAGCACCUAGGGACUGUUGUGAGGAUUAAAAUGAGAUAAUGUGUUAAGAGGGCUUAGCACAGUUUCCGGCUUAUAAUAAAUGUUCAAUGAAUGCCAGCUAGUAUUAUUAUGUUCUUCAUUUAAUAGAAACACUUUAGAAAGAGUUACCCUUCUUGAAAUAUCAGUGGCAUAGGCACUUGGUCAGAAAAUCAAGCUGUUAAUGCUGCCCCCCCCCGCCCAUCUUAACUCCUCUGAAAGAUGUGGUUUCUUUUCCAGAAGGCCACAGGAAUUUCAGCUGUGCUUGCCUCUCACCAGUGGACAGUUCUCUGCCAGUUUACCCAAGACUUCCUUUUAAUCACCUCCAGCUGAGCCUACCCUAGUACAUUCUGUGCUACUUUUAAAACUUUAUAAGCCAAGAAAACAAAGUAUAGGCACAAGUGGGUUCACAAGCUUCGAACCACAGGCAGAAGCCACUGGAACCCACAUGUCCUCAGGCACUAACACAGCAACCAUUACCCUGCUUGGAAAAUGUGCCUGAGGUCACAGAGAACCCCAAGAAUUGUUUCUGUUUCAUCCAUAAGUCACCCAGCACUUAUAUCCAUUGUCAGAUGUAUUAGAUGCAUUUGUCUCAAUCAGCAGAUUAAAAAUCUGGAACCCAGAAAGCAAACAGCUCCUUGCUAAAGGCAAAUAAACAGAUUUCUGUUGCAAAGGAAACUUUUUCCUGAGACUCAUUGCUAUUAAGAUAGCACUUGCUUCUGCCUGGCCACAAAUACAUCCAAAGUUAGUAAAUCCUAUGGAGAGACAUAAACAUACUUUCCCCCAAGGGUUCACACAUUCUCAAAGAAGAGGACAAGUUGAAAUGGGAAGCAGGGAAAUGCCAUUUUGAACAAGGUCCUUCACAUAAGUAGGUCUCUGGAGGUUUUUCAGGAAAAGAUCUUGCAGUGAA